GACGAACGCUGGCGGUGUGCUUAACACAUGCAAGUCGAACGGAAAGGCCCUGCUUUUGUGGGGUGCUCGAGUGGCGAACGGGUGAGUAACACGUGAGUAACCUGCCCUUGACUUUGGGAUAACUUCAGGAAACUGGGGCUAAUACCGGAUAGGAGCUCCUGCUGCAUGGUGGGGGUUGGAAAGUUUCGGCGGUUGGGGAUGGACUCGCGGCUUAUCAGCUUGUUGGUGGGGUAGUGGCUUACCAAGGCUUUGACGGGUAGCCGGCCUGAGAGGGUGACCGGCCACAUUGGGACUGAGAUACGGCCCAGACUCCUACGGGAGGCAGCAGUGGGGAAUAUUGCACAAUGGGCGGAAGCCUGAUGCAGCAACGCCGCGUGCGGGAUGACGGCCUUCGGGUUGUAAGCCGCUUUCGCCUGUGACGAAGCGUGAGUGACGGUAAUGGGUAAAGAAGCACCGGCUAACUACGUG
rnacentral:rRNA from 1 species